GUCUUGCUCUGCAGGAAGUGGAAUACACACUUCUGCGUGGAAGUGGGAAUCCCAGCCAGGAGCUCCUGCUUCCGUGUGUGUGGGCUCUUGUCCAUAGCUCCCGGCCGCGUCCCUGCCGCCUCCAGGAUCAGGAGAGACCUGUGGGUCCUGCAGACACUGGACCUCGAGGGAUGCUGAACAGCAGAUCAUCCCCACGCAGUUUCUUGCCGAGACCUGGUAAACAGCGGCGUCGCUCUGGGUACAGCUAGGAAGAGGAUAGACAGGCAUAUGGAGGACUUGGAGGGUACAUCUGAUGCACAUCUUGAAGUCCAAGGUCAAAGUUCCCUCAAAGGCAAACUCCCCCCUGAAGGCUCUGGGGAGAAUCAUCCUUUGUGUGGCCUUGCCGGCAGUCUUGGGCAGUCCUUGGCUUAUAGCUGCUUCCCCCUCUUUCUCAGCACCCAUCUCCUCUGGCUGUUUUCCUAACUGUGUCUCUGAUUUCCCUUUCUCCGUGGUCAUCAGUUUUGGGCUUACGCUAAUCCUUUAUAAGCUGAAUUAUGACUGCAAAGACAUUAUUUCCAAAUGAGGUUUUAGUCCAAGUGUAUAUAGAUUGGGGGGGGGGAAUAAUAUUCAUCUAUGUAUCCCGUGGGCACAUUGGUUUAUUGUGCCCAUGUAAGCAGCACCCUCUCCAUGACCUCUGCAUCAGCUCCUGCCUCUAGGUUCUUAACCAGUUUGAGUUCCUGCCCUGACUUCCUUCAAUGAUGAACAGUGAUGUGCAAAAGUAAGCCAAAUAAACCGUAUCCUCCCCAA
rnacentral:lncRNA from 1 species